rnacentral:rRNA from 1 species
GAUGAACGCUAGCUACAGGCUUAACACAUGCAAGUCGAGGGGCAUCAGGAAGAAAGCUUGCUUUCUUUGCUGGCGACCGGCGCACGGGUGAGUAACACGUAUCCAACCUGCCCUUUACUCGGGGAUAGCCUUUCGAAAGAAAGAUUAAUACCCGAUAGCAUAAUGAUUCCGCAUGGUUUCGUUAUUAAAGAAUUUCGGUUAUCGAUGGGGAUGCGUUCCAUUAGGCAGUUGGUGAGGUAACGGCUCACCAAACCUUCGAUGGAUAGGGGUUCUGAGAGGAAGGUCCCCCACAUUGGAACUGAGACACGGUCCAAACUCCUACGGGAGCAGCAGUGAGGAAUAUUGGUCAAUGGGGCGCAGGCCCUGAACCCAGCCAAGUAGCGUGAAGGAUGGACUGCCCUAUGGGUUGUAAACUUCUUUUUANAUGGG